GAUGAACGCUGGCGGCGUGCCUAAUACAUGCAAGUCGAGCGAACGGACGAGAAGCUUGCUUCUCUGAUGUUAGCGGCGGACGGGUGAGUAACACGUGGAUAACCUACCUAUAAGACUGGGAUAACUUCGGGAAACCGGGGCUAAUACCGGAUAAUAUUUUGAACCGCAUGGUUCAAAAGUGAAAGACGGUCUUGCUGUCACUUAUAGAUGGAUCCGCGCUGCAUUAGCUAGUUGGUAAGGUAACGGCUUACCAAGGCAACGAUGCAUAGCCGACCUGAGAGGGUGAUCGGCCACACUGGAACUGAGACACGGUCCAGACUCCUACGGGAGGCAGCAGUAGGGAAUCUUCCGCAAUGGGCGAAAGCCUGACGGAGCAACGCCGCGUGAGUGAUGAAGGUCUUCGGAUCGUAAAACUCUGUUAUUAGGGAAGAACAUAUGUGUAAGUAACUGUGCACAUCUUGACGGUACCUAAUCAGAAAGCCACGGCUAACUACAUG
rnacentral:rRNA from 1 species